CCAGGCUGCAUGGGCACCUCAGCUAUGCCAGGCAUCCCUGGUGUGGUCCUUGUAUCAUCUGACAGUGACACCAUUGGGUUUUUUUAUGGCAGGGAGACCGGGGGCUUCCAGGAGAGACUGGAGAAGCAGGGGAAAAGGGAGAUCGUGGACCCCCAGGGCCUGAAGGGGAGAAGGGGGAGCCCGGAGGUCCAGGCCGCUUGGGCCCAUCUGGCAGAGAGGGAUUGCCAGGACCAGCUGGUCCACGAGGGGAAAAGGUAG
rnacentral:lncRNA from 1 species